UACGUAGGGUGCGAGCGUUGUCCGGAAUUACUGGGCGUAAAGAGCUCGUAGGUGGUUUGUCGCGUUGUCCGUGAAAACUCACAACUCAAUUGUGGGCGUGCGGGCGAUACGGGCAGACUGGAGUACUGCAGGGGAGACUGGAAUUCCUGGUGUAGCGGUGGAAUGCGCAGAGUAUCAGGAGGAACACCGGUGGCGAAGGCGGGUCUCUGGGCAGUAACUGACGCUGAGGAGCGAAAGCGUGGGGAGCGAACAGGA
rnacentral:rRNA from 1 species